GCUACACACUGGCACCAUGAUGUACACACUGGUACCAUGAUAUACACAUUGAUACCAUGAUGUAACUCAGAUACCAUGAUGUACACACUGGUACCAUGAUGUACACACUGGCACCAUGAUGUACACACUGAUACCAUGAUGUACACACUGGUACCAUGAUGUACACACUGGUACCAUGAUAUACACACUGAUACCAAGAUGUACACACUGACACCAUGAUGUACACACUGACACCAUGAUGUACACACUGACACCAUGAUGCACACACUGAUACCAUAACAUACGCGCUAACAAAAUCAUGCCUAAUAAAUAUGAUUACGUAAUUAUGUAAUUAUGUAAUUACUCGUAUCAUUCGAAAAAUAAAUAAAAAAUUGUCGACUAA